GCAUAUAAUAGCUGAGUACCAAAAGAGUUUUGCAGUGCCAUCUGGUGGCAGUUCGAAACGGAGAAUUCUUAGGAUAUUCAAUUCAGUCAGCUCUCAUGAUUACCGUACAUGUUUAGAUAUACUGGAUUUGUGAUUUGAGGGGUUGUGGUGCAUAUAUGGACGAGACGUUCGAGAUCCUGAUGCAAUACAGAGACGGAUCGGUGCAUCGAGGUGC
rnacentral:lncRNA from 1 species